GACGAAGGGGGCUAGCGUUGCUCGGAAUCACUGGGCGUAAAGGGUGCGUAGGCGGGUCUUUUAAGUCAGGGGUGAAAUCCUGGAGCUCAACUCCAGAACUGCCUUUGAUACUGAAGAUCUUGAGUUCGGGAGAGGUGAGUGGAACUGCGAGUGUAGAGGUGAAAUUCGUAGAUAUUCGCAAGAACACCAGUGGCGAAGGCGGCUCACUGGCCCGAGUACUGACGCUGAGGCACGAAAGCGUGGGGAGCAAACAGG
rnacentral:rRNA from 1 species